GAAUGGUUUGUGAACUACUUGCAAAUUUAGUUGAAGUUGUUGAAUAUUUUUUUUUUCUGUAGUAGUCAUUCUUUCUCCCUCGUUCUUUCCACUCUCUUUUUGUUCCUCCUCUCUUCCAAAAGUGAAUUAAUUUUAAAGUUUUUUUCCCAGUUAUACAGUGGGGAGAAUGAAUCCUAAGACACAAGGAGUUUAAACCUACUCUAUAUUUUUUCUGGGCUCACUGCAAAGCCCCUUUACAGCAAAGGAGACUUUACAUCAACUAUAACACAGGUCAGGCUGGGUAUGUAUGUUGUAACUGAGCAAAAUUCUCAUCUUCCCUCCUCCUUUCAUCUCUCUCUCUCCGUUUCAGUAUGCAUACUCUUCACUUCGUGUCCAUUCUGUCUCCUCCUCCUCGGUAGAGCUGAGGUUCAAGCCGAACUUUAACAAGUAAAAUUCGACUGGGUAAAUAUAUUAACUACAAUAAAUGCAUUUAUCUCUUACAAAAUCACUGAAGUAGAAAUCUUAGUAACAUCUUUUAAAGUGAAAUUACCAUUUCUAUACCUUCAUUGCUUCAUAAGAAUAACAAAAGUAAAAUACCUAGAAGCUAGUCCUUAUCCUUAACUUUUUAACUUUGUUAUUUUAUUUUUGCUUUCUACUAGAUUUUCAAUUAAAGAAUUAUGUAUGGAAGUGUGAGAUGUUGAUCUUGUCAAUAAAAUCUCACAACCUCUGUGUGCAGCAGAGCAUGACUUUGGAUAUCAUCAGCAGAGAACGUGUGCUUCUCUCAAGAGAUCUAGUGGAUAUUUGCCUGGCAUCUCUUGUGCCUGCAGAGAAGAAUACAACAAAGGGGAAGAAGGUAUUUCAGUGAGAAUGACUUGACCAUGGAUGAGGAAGCCCUACAGUACCGGUGUGCUACUCCUUUUCCCAGAGAUCUGCCAUUUUUCUGCACCGGCAGGAGAGUCUGUGGCCUUUGGAAAUGAAUCACCUUUAAAAAGGAAUGAUGACCAGGAUGACCUGAAGCAGGUGAAGAGGCAGUCAGCCCGCUCACUUUUUCCUUCUGUGCAGUGUCAUCACAAAACUCUUCACUGUUUUUUCAUCUGCUGUGACCACACAGUUAAGAAAGGCUCGUCAGCCCUCGCCAAGCCCAUCACCUAA
rnacentral:lncRNA from 1 species